rnacentral:lncRNA from 1 species
AGACACUGGUGAAGGCCCCCGGAAGUGACGCCUUCUCUUCCCUGGAGCCCCUGCCUGGACCAGGGUCCACUCCUCCACCCACACACACCACGGAGAAGAUUUGGAUAGGGGGAUCCAUCUUUUCCUGGACAUGGGCAACCUGGGACCUGGAGGGGGACAGGAGCAGAAGUUUUUUUCCAGGAGGAAUCUGGCAGGACAUUUGUGUUGCUGGGGAAGAAGCACAGAGGUCUUGUUUAAGAUUGGUGGGGUUUUCACUCCCUGGCUAUCCAAAUUUCUUUUCCCUGGACAUCAUACCUGCUGCUGAAAUCCAACAGGAUGCUUGCUUUCCUGCUUUUCUUUCUGUAAUCCCCUAGGGAGUCCUAUCUUGUCAUUCCCCCUUUCGAAGUGGGAACACGGAUAUUGCCCACAUGAGAGAAAUCUCCUGUUAUGGGUUGGUGUUAUGGGGAAAGGGUUUGGACGGGUUGAGUGGACUGUCAGGUGCGGGGCACAUGUAUGUGCGCACACGUGCACUGGGUUAAGCCUGAGCUUAGGUGCUCGUCUGCUGGGGUCCAGUGGCUUAGAUGGCUACACACACAGACCUCUGUGCCCAGGGCCCUCCUUUGCUUGUUCUGUCUCCGUCUUCCAUCUCCUACCGUUCCACAUGUGACAAGAGGAAUAACCAGGCCCAUGUGUCCCUGUCUUAGGAAAGACAGCUGCUGGACCUCCCCCGCAAAUACCUCCCUGCUGGCCCCCCUUUUCCUUUGGCCCUGGCUCUAGCUCCUUUGCUUUCUUCCCAGUCCCAGUCUCCCCACAGUCUCUGUCCUCAGGGGCUUCCUGGCCUGACCUUGAUCCCAUCAUCCCCCUGUCCCCCAGAACUUCC